rnacentral:tRNA from 1 species
GGUAGAGGAAUUGGUCAACUCAUCAGGCUCAUGACCUGAAGACUGCAGGUUCGAAUCCUGUCCUUGCCU